GACAUCUGGUGACUGGCAGCACUGGGCAUUGCCCCGCUGCCCAGCAUCCUCAGCAGGGCUCUGAAACAAAGCCCAUCAGUGCCUGUUUGUACACCAGCAUCUCAGAUGAGCAGGGACAAGACAAAUGAGAUCAGUAAGAGGAUUGUUCAGCAGGCAGUUUUGGAGAGAGGAUAUUUCCUCAAGGAGUAGGCAGCAAGGAAGGAGGCAAAAAAAAAAAAAGGAGACAUUAAGACUAAGGUGUGGAGUGACAUUUCAACUAAGGAAGCAGACCAGAGGACCAUUUCCCCCAUCAUUAUGCAGAGAACAGAGGCUGCAGUUUUAAAAUUUAUCUGUUUUUUUGCACCAGUGACAACAAGAACAAGAAGACCAUACCAUAAAGCUCCUCCAUGCCCUCUUUCCAAAUUCUGCUGCAGCAGAAAUGCCAGUAAAA